ACAUAACAAAGAUCAUUCUUAAACCAGUUGUGUGAGCGAGCUGAGAAAAAUAACCGAACUAGGUAAUAGUGAGUUGAUGUAAUUGUAUUGCAAGAGACUUUGAUGAUCCUCUGUAUAUAGGAGAGCCCUGUAUCUGUAACUUUAUACAAGACAAAACUGGAAUCCUUCAUUUAGAUAGUGGGACAAAAUGGCGUCUGCAUUACCGUCACUAGAGGAAGAAAAUUAUUUGCGAAUGAGUCUGCUUCUGACUGGAAUUUCUCCACGUGCAGUUAGAGUCCUGUUUGAUCAUGAAUUUGCUCCGGAAUGUCUAUAUUCUUCAUUGAAGAAGGAAUACUAUAAUCUAGAUAAGCUGAAAAAAAAACCAUAGAAUCAAUCAGACACAAUGGGAUCUUCUAUUUCCUCCAUCUCAAGGUGUUCCUGAUUCAAAAAGGUUUGACGUCACUUUGAUGAUAAUAUUACUUCGACACCUAACUUCCAUGACUCCUCCUGCUGGUGGAUAUGACCGAUUACCAAAAUAUACAGAGACGACACUUGGGGCUGAUUUGGCUAAAAUAAAGUUUUACAGAAAUCGACUAGCUCAUCUGGAUGAUGCCAAAAUAGACCACGCGUCCUUCAUUGCUGACUGGAAUGAUGUCACUAGUGCGAUUUGUCGUGUAGGAGGACAUCAAUUUCAGUUAGAAUGUGAUAAUUUAAAAAACAAAACUCUUGAUCAAACAAUCCACGAAAUAAUGCUGAAAAUCAAAAGUUCGAAGGAUGAAAUCAG